rnacentral:rRNA from 1 species
UACGGAGGGUGCGAGCGUUGUCCGGAAUCAUUGGGCGUAAAGAGCGUGUAGGCGGCCCGGUAAGUCCGCUGUCAAAGUCAAAGGCUCAACCUUUGAAUGUCAGUGGAUACUGCCGGGCUAGAGUCCGGAAGAGGCGAGUGGAACUCCUGGUGUAGCGGUGGAAUGCGCAGAUAUCAGGAAGAACACCAAAGGCGAAGGCAGUGUCCUGGGUGGUACCUGACGCUCAGGUGCGAAAGCUAGGGGAGCGAACGGG